rnacentral:rRNA from 1 species
GUGCCAGCAGCCGCGGUAAUACGUAGGGUCCAAGCGUUAAUCGGAAUUACUGGGCGUAAAGCGUGCGCAGGCGGUUGUGCAAGACCGAUGUGAAAUCCCCGGGCUUAACCUGGGAAUUGCAUUGGUGACUGCACGGCUAGAGUGUGUCGGAGGGGGGUAGAAUUCCACGUGUAGCAGUGAAAUGCGUAGAGAUGUGGAGGAAUACCGAUGGCGAAGGCGGCCCCCUGGGAUAACACUGACGCUCAUGCACGAAAGCGUGGGGAGCAAACAGGAUUAGAUACCCUGGUAGUCCACGCCCUAAACGAUGUCAACUAGUUGUUGGGGAUUCAUUUCCUUAGUAACGUAGCUAACGCGUGAAGUUGACCGCCUGGGGAGUACGGUCGCAAGAUUAAAACUCAAAGGAAUUGACGGGGACCCGCACAAGCGGUGGAUGAUGUGGAUUAAUUCGAUGCAACGCGAAGAACCUUACCAGG